UUAGGACACCAUUCAUAUGUCGUCUGAGUAAAUGGGAAACAAGUGGAAAAUUAGGACUACAUUCAUAUGUCGUCUGAGUAAACGGGAAACUGACAGCUAAUUUGCUAAUAAUAUUGUAAAGUAUUUGAUCCCUCCCUUGGCUAAAAAAGAAAAACUCGGGCUCCUUUUGCUAGGACCUUUCCCUUAGCUGAAAGAAAAAAAGAACCAACCCUAGAUCUAAAAACUCGGGCUCGUUUUGCCGCCUCUGACUCUCAGCCAAUCUCUCCCUCGCACGCUCGAUCUCACUCUCAUGAACCUCAGUCCCUCAAUCCACCCUCAAUCCCUUUCACCCUCUCAAGCUCACACACACUCUCAUCCUCCUGCGAUUCCGGCAAAGCAAGUUUGGGUAUGGAAGUUUUGGGUAUAGAAGUUUGGGUAAAGUAAGUUUGCAAAGCAUAGACAUCCUCAAGUUUGGUUCGAUUUCUGGUUCGAUUUCGAAUUCUUCAAGCUUGUUGCAAAGAAAUUUAUAGUGGAAUUCGACUUCGUAUUGAUGCUUUGAACUGUGAUUUUGGAGGUUAGUGUGUCUGUGCUUAAAGGAAGCAGCUUCUUUGCUGUUUGAGUGAAUUAGAAUUUGGGAUGAGAAGGAUGAACAAUUAUAUACCCAAUUUCCUGCAACAAACUUUGAGGGCUAAAACUGAUGAAACUAAAGAACGGCACUAAGCAAGUCUUCAC